rnacentral:rRNA from 1 species
UUNUGAACUGGGUGACUAGAGUGUGUCAGAGGGAGGUAGAAUNCCACGUGUAGCAGUGAAAUGCGUAGAGAUGUGGAGGAAUACCGAUAGCGAAGGCAGCCUCCUGGGAUAACACUGACGUUCAUGCCCGAAAGCGUGGGUAGCAAACAGGAUUAGAUACCCUGGUAGUNCACGCCCUAAACGAUGUCGAUUAGCUGUUGGGCAGCAUGACUGCUUAGUAGCGAAGCUAACGCGUGAAAUCGACCGCCUGGGGAGUACGGUCGCAAGAUUAAAACUCAAAGGAAUUGACGGGGACCCGCACAAGCGGUGGAUGAUGUGGAUUAAUUCGAUGCAACGCGAAGAACCUUACCUGGUCUUGACAUGUACGGAACCCUCCAGAGACGGAGGGGUGCCUUCGGGAGCCGUAACACAGGUGCUGCAUGGCUGUCGUCAGCUCGUGUCGUGAGAUGUUGGGUUAAGUCCCGCAACGAGCGCAACCCUUGUCAUUAGUUGCCAUCAUUAAGUUGGGCACUCUAAUGAGACUGCCGGUGACAAGCCGGAGGAAGGUGGGGAUGACGUCAAGUCCUCAUGGCCCUUAUGACCAGGGCUUCACACGUCAUACAAUGGUCGGUACAGAGGGUAGCCAAGCCGCGAGGUGGAGCCAAUCUCACAAAACCGAUCGUAGUCCGGAUUGCACUCUGCAACUCGAGUGCAUGAAGUCGGAAUCGCUAGUAAUCGCAGGUCAGCAUACUGCGGUGAAUACGUUCCCGGGUCUUGU